rnacentral:rRNA from 1 species
CUUGGGUGGAUUAGUGGCGACGGGUGAGUAACACGUGAGUAACCUGCCUUCCACUCUGGGAUAAGCCUGGGAAACUGGGUCUAAUACUGGAUAUGACUGAUCACCGCAUGGUGGUUGGUGGAAAGUUUUUCGGUGGAAGAUGGACUCGCGGACUAUCAGCUUGUUGGUGGGGUAGUGGCCUACCAAGGCUUUGACGGUUAGCCGGCCUGAGAGGGCGACCGGCCACACUGGGACUGAGACACGGCCCAGACUCCUACGGGAGGCAGCAGUGGGGAAUAUUGCACAAUGGGCGAAAGCCUGAUGCAGCGACGCCGCGUGCGGGAUGACGGCCUUCGGGUUGUAAACCGCUUUCGCCAGGGACGAAGCGCAAGUGACGGUACCUGGAGAAGAAGCACCGGCUAACUACGUGCCAGCAGCCGCGGUAAUACGUAGGGUGCGAGCGUUGUCCGGAAUUAUUGGGCGUAAAGAGCUUGUAGGCGGUUUGUCGCGUCUGCUGUGAAAGACCGGGGCUUAACUCCGGUUCUGCAGUGGGUACGGGCAGACUAGAGUGUGGUAGGGGAGACUGGAAUUCCUGGUGUAGCGGUGAAAUGCGCAGAUAUCAGGAGGAACACCGAUGGCGAAGGCAGGUCUCUGGGCCACUACUGACGCUGAGAAGCGAAAGCAUGGGGAGCGAACAGGAUUAGAUACCCUGGUAGUCCAUGCCGUAAACGUUGGGAACUAGGUGUGGGCCUCAUUCCACGAGGUCCGUGCCGUAGCUAACGCAUUAAGUUCCCCGCCCUGGGGGAGUACGGCCGCAAGG